AUGAGGAUAGUAAACAGGAGAAAUAGACAUGGUACUCAUAUUCCAGUACAAGAAACUGAAGUGCACGAAAGAGACCAAUGUCCAGUACAAGAAAUUGAAAUGCACAAAAGAGACCAAUGUCCAGUGCAAGAAAACAAGUCCACAAAUGUCAUAGAAAGAAACAAGUUCACACUUUCAGUUUUUUCUUGCUACGAGUGGCCAUCGCAGGGCUGUUUGGUUGCCUUUUCUUGCUUCGAGUGGCCAUUGCGGGGCUGUCCGCUGCAGCUGGGAUCACCUUUGCCUUCGACUUGCCCUUGCGCCGCUUUGCUGUUGACGCAAUUUCCAUUGAGGUGCUCUCAAUUUGGUUCGAACCGGUUUUGGACCUAA
rnacentral:rRNA from 1 species